AGCGAACGCUGGCGGCAGGCUUAACACAUGCAAGUCGAGCGCUCGUAGCAAUACGGGAGCGGCAGACGGGUGAGUAACACGUGGGAACGUACCUUUUGGUUCGGAACAACACAGGGAAACUUGUGCUAAUACCGGAUAAGCCCUUACGGGGAAAGAUUUAUCGCCAAAAGAUCGGCCCGCGUCUGAUUAGCUUGUUGGUGAGGUAACGGCUCACCAAGGCGACGAUCAGUAGCUGGUCNGAGAGGAUGAUCAGCCACAUUGGGACUGAGACACGGCCCAAACUCCUACGGGAGGCAGCAGUGGGGAAUAUUGGACAAUGGGCGCAAGCCUG
rnacentral:rRNA from 1 species